ACCUCUGUUGUGUAGUGGUAGAACAUGCAUCCCCGGAUAGGAUAAAACGAGGGUUCGACUCCCGCCUGAGGGU